rnacentral:rRNA from 1 species
UACGUAGGGGGCAAGCGUUGUCCGGAAUCAUUGGGCGUAAAGCGCGCGCAGGCGGUCCUUUAAGUCUGAUGUGAAAGCCCACGGCUCAACCGGGGAACUGCGUGUGAUACUGGAUGGCUUGAGUUUGGGAGAGGGAUGCGGAAUUCCAGGUGUAGCGGUGAAAUGCGUAGAUAUCGGGAGGAACAUCAGUGGCGAAGGCGGCUGCCUGGCUCAAUACUGACACUCAGGUGCGACAGCGUGGGGAGCAAACAGG